GCGCUUGUAGCUCAGUUGGAUAGAGAGUUGGAUUCCGGUUCCAAAGGCCGGGGGUUCGAAUCCUCCCCAGCGCGCCA
rnacentral:tRNA from 1 species